rnacentral:lncRNA from 1 species
UGAGACCUUAUUUUAAAAUUGCCUUUACUUAGGUCCAUCAUGUGUGGAAUCCUUUGGUACUGGCUUCUGAUGAGCAGGAUGAUGUCUUUAACAGCUCACUGGGAUUAUCAAAUACAUCAGUGUGAUGUAUUUGCUAAACAGAGGUGGCGGCUGAAGUUUGACAAGUGCUUGUGUUCCUGGAGGCAUGGAGAAUAAAAGUAAUUCUGAACAAAAUUCUGUUCUUUAUUUCAGUUUCCCUGAUGACAUGCAAAUCAGAAUCUGUUAACCAUUGGCUGUUCCAGAUAUGAUGUCAAAGCCAACAAGGGAGACUUGUAGUAUGACUCAAAAGCAGAAGUAUUUUGAAACAGAAAGAAUGACUUACUGGGGAGCCAGGUUAAAAACUAAAGAAGUGAAGAUUGGUCAUCUCUGCAGAGGAAAUUACAAGGUAUGCAUAGUAAUCACACUGGAGAUGCAUUUCUUGCUGGUGCUUAGCACUUCAUGGUACAUUACUUGUGGCAAUAAAGUUUAAAAAUAGUCCUCAGAAACAUUGAAAAAGAUGUUCAGAAAAGUAGUUUUUUCUUCUUUGUGCUUCCCACACUAAGCAAAGCAAAUAUUUAUUUGGUUAUAAAUAUCUUUGAGAUGCACCUUUAAACUCAUUACUAUGCUGAAUUGUAGCUGUGUUUCUGCAGGUAAAUGGCAAUCACAUUCAAUGAAUUGGUUUUUUGGCUGAGGCCAGUAAAAACAACUCUUCUCCCAACAGUAAAAUUGAAAUCCCUCCAGAUACUAUCAAUGGUCAUUCUUGAGACUUAAAGUGCUUGUUUCAUGGACUCAUUUAAUCACUGUAUGCCUGGUUCAGCAGUGCUACCAUUUUCUCUUCCUCAUUUAUUACCAUCACAAGGAGAUGCACUUAGAACCUGUUUUGCACUGCAUUUGAAGAACAUAUCCUUUUACAUUUGUCAUCCUGAAAAUUUGUAAUUUCAGGGAUGCAAAAUCAGCACUACUAACAACUCAUGCCUCUCAAAUAUUUUAUGUAAAGUGAAUGCUUCAUAUUUAUCCAGUGACUGCUCAGUGACCAGCACAAGGCUAUAUGCCACUUAAGUCCUGAGGUUAAAUGUUACUUCAAUGAUGCAUAAAAUUUGUAUUGACCAUCUGCCCAGCACUGAGUUGAACCCACUAAUGAAUAAGCCUCACGGUAUCACUGAAAUAGGGAAUUAUGAUCUCCAUUUAACAAGUGAUAGAACUGAGCCCCAAGGGUAACCACUUCAAAUCCUACAGGAA